GACAGAGGGUGCAAACGUUGUUCGGAAUUACUGGGCGUAAAGCGCGUGUAGGCGGCUCGGCAAGUCGGGUGUGAAAGCCCUGGGCUUAACCCAGGAAGUGCACUCGAAACUUCCGAGCUGGAGUCCUGGAGAGGAAGGCGGAAUUCUCGGUGUAGAGGUGAAAUUCGUAGAUAUCGAGAGGAACACCGGUGGCGAAGGCGGCCUUCUGGACAGUGACUGACGCUGAGACGCGAAAGCGUGGGGAGCAAACAGG
rnacentral:rRNA from 1 species